UCAGCCCUACUGUUCCUGCUUUGUUCAUUCACCCGCUCCAAUAGACCCUCAUCAUUUCUGCACCGUGAGUCCUGCGUUUGGGUCAUCUCUUCCACGCUUCCACACACAAAACCUGGCAAGGUUAUUCACAGUAAUCAUUGGAGAUAUCUGCUUGGACCAUGAAUAUCACCUGCUCCUCUGAUGGGGGAUAUUUACCAGGGGGGAGAGAUCCUGCACUUUUACAAGUCAGACUGGCUCAUCAUGGUGGUAAACAGCAAGCAGGGACGUCACUGUCAGAGAUGGCGACGAUCAUAGCCUGGCCUUAGCGUUGCAGAUCGGAUUCAUGCUCCCUGACCAAUGUUUGGCUGUGUAACUGUUAACGAGUGCUUCAGUGCACCGGAUGGUAAUAUUUUAAAGAGAGACGGCCGCUUGUGAGCGUAAACACCGGGAUGCGAGCACAUUUUAAAGC